UACGGAGGGUGCAAACGUUGCUCGGAAUCAUUGGGCGUAAAGCGCACGUAGGCGGUCGGCUAUGUCGGAUGUGAAAGCCUCGGGCUUAACCCGAGAAGGGCAUCCGAAACUGGCCGGCUUGAGUACGGAAGAGGGUCUCGGAAUUCCCGGUGUAGAGGUGAAAUUCGUAGAUACCGGGAGGAACACCAGUGGCGAAGGCGGAGACCUGGGCCGAUACUGACGCUGAGGUGCGAAAGCGUGAGGAGCAAACAGG
rnacentral:rRNA from 1 species